rnacentral:rRNA from 1 species
UACGGGGGGGGCUAGCGUUGUUCGGAAUUACUGGGCGUAAAGGGCGCGUAGGCGGCCUACUAAGUCGGACGUGAAAUCCCUCGGCUCAACCGGGGAACUGCGUCCGAUACUGGUGGGCUCGAAUCCGGGAGAGGGAUGUGGAAUUCCAGGUGUAGCGGUGAAAUGCGUAGAUAUCUGGAGGAACACCGGUGGCGAAGGCGGGUCUCUGGGCCGACACUGACGCUGAGGAGCGAAAGCGUGGGGAGCGAACAGG